GAACGCUAGCUACAGGCUUAACACAUGCAAGUCGAGGGGCAGCAUGGUCUUAGCUUGCUAAGGCCGAUGGCGACCGGCGCACGGGUGAGUAACACGUAUCCAACCUGCCGUCUACUCUUGGACAGCCUUCUGAAAAGGAAGAUUAAUACAAGAUGGCAUCAUGAGUCCACAUGUUCACAUGAUUAAAGGUAUUCCGGUAGACGAUGGGGAUGCGUUCCAUUAGAUAGUAGGCGGGGUAACGGCCCACCAAAGCGACGAUGGAUAGGGGUUCUGAGAGGAAGGUCCCCCACAUUGGAACUGAGACACGGUCCAAACUCCUACGGGAGGCAGCAGUGAGGAAUAUUGGUCAAUGGUCGGCAGACUGAACCAGCCAAGUCGCGUGAGGGAAGACGGCCCUACGGGUUGUAAACCUCUUUUGUCGGAGAGUAAAGUACGCUACGUGUAGCGUAUUGCAAGUAUCCGAAGAAAAAGCAUCGGCUAACUCCGUG
rnacentral:rRNA from 1 species